rnacentral:misc_RNA from 1 species
GAUGAAGAACGCAGCGAAAUGCGAUACGUAAUGUGAAUUGCAGAAUUCAGUGAAUCAUCGAGUCUUUGAACGCACAUUGCGCCCCCUGGUAUUCCGGGGGGCAUGCCUGUCCAAGCGUCAUUGCUGCCCUCAAGCACGGCUUGUGUGUUGGGCCUCCGUCCUCCUCCCGGGGGACGGGCCCGAAAGGCAGCGGCGGCACCGCGUCCGGUCCUCGAGCGUAUGGGGCUUCGUCACCCGCUCUUGUAGGCCCGGCCGGCGCUUGCCGACACAUCAAUCUUUUUUCCAGGUUGACCUCGGAUCAGGUAGGGAUACCCGCUGAACUUAAGCAUAUCAAUAAGCGGAGGA